UUAGGGCUUACUCAACACUAUGGGCUUACUACUCAAUAGUUGUAGGCUUACUUCUAACAUGGACUAAUAACUUAUAACUCAUAACUAGUAACAGACUGAAACAAAUAUACCCGCGCCUAGGAACUUCAUUCAACUUAUACGACUUCGGGCCCAUAUCUUGGUAUCCGACUAAUGCACCGAUUAUCAGAUAUCUUGGUAAAUGUACCGAUUAUCUGAGAGAAAGCGAAAAGAGAGAGAGCCCCUACUGCCAAGAAUGAUAAGAAGCUGCGAGAAAGUAAAGGUGUUUGCCUCUCGAUAACUUAAGGGCAGAACCACUUGUCUUUUGAUUUGAUUGAUUUCGUAGUAUAAGCCUUUCACUCC
rnacentral:lncRNA from 1 species